rnacentral:misc_RNA from 1 species
AAAGUCGUAACAAGGUUUCCGUAGGUGAACCUGCGGAAGGAUCAUUAUCGUGGGGAUUCGUCCCUGUCGAGAUAGCACCCUUUGUCUAUGAGCACCUUCUGUUUCCUCGGCGGGCUUGCCCGCCAACGGGGACCACACAAACCCUUUGCAGUAGCAGUAACUUCUGAAAACAAACAAAUAUUAAAACUUUCAACAACGGAUCUCUUGGUUCUG